rnacentral:snoRNA from 1 species
UUGAAAGUCUUUCAGCAUGCUUGAGUCUAGUAUGACUGCAUUCCUGCAGUGCUUGCUAGUGCUCUGAAAUGGUUUGAGGCCCUUCCUCAAAGAUUGGUUCUAGACAUUUCAGACAGUU